UACGUAGGGUGCAAGCGUUAAUCGGAAUUACUGGGCGUAAAGCGUGCGCAGGCGGUGAUGUAAGACAGGUGUGAAAUCCCCGGGCUUAACCUGGGAACUGCAUUUGUGGACUGCAUCGCUGGAGUGCGGCAGAGGGGGAUGGAAUUCCGCGUGUAGCAGUGAAAUGCGUAGAUAUGCGGAGGAACACCGAUGGCGAAGGCAAUCCCCUGGGCCUGCACUGACGCUCAUGCACGAAAGCGUGGGGAGCAAACAGG
rnacentral:rRNA from 1 species